UACAGAGGGUGCAAGCGUUGUUCGGAAUUAUUGGGCGUAAAGGGCGCGUAGGCGGUGCCACAAGUCACCUGUGAAAUCUCCGGGCUUAACUCGGAGCCUGCAGGCGAAACUGUGGUGCUGGAGUGUGGGAGAGGUGCGUGGAAUUCCCGGUGUAGCGGUGAAAUGCGUAGAGAUCGUAAGGAAGACCAGUGGCGGAAGGCGAGUUUCUGGACGGUAAC
rnacentral:rRNA from 1 species